GCGAGUCGAGCGGUAGAGAGAAGCUUGCUUCUCUUGAGAGCGGCGGACGGGUGAGUAAUGCCUAGGAAUCUGCCUGGUAGUGGGGGAUAACGUUCGGAAACGGACGCUAAUACCGCAUACGUCCUACGGGAGAAAGCAGGGGACCUUCGGGCCUUGCGCUAUCAGAUGAGCCUAGGUCGGAUUAGCUAGUUGGUGGGGUAAUGGCUCACCAAGGCGACGAUCCGUAACUGGUCUGAGAGGAUGAUCAGUCACACUGGAACUGAGACACGGUCCAGACUCCUACGGGAGGCAGCAGUGGGGAAUAUUGGACAAUGGGCGAAAGCCUGAUCCAGCCAUGCCGCGUGUGUGAAGAAGGUCUUCGGAUUGUAAAGCACUUUAAGUUGGGAGGAAGGGUUGUAGAUUAAUACUCUGCAAUUUUGACGUUACCGACAGAAUAAGCACCGGCUAACUCUGUGCCAGCAGCCGCGGUAAUA
rnacentral:rRNA from 1 species